ACGAACGCUGGCGGCAUGCCUAACACAUGCAAGUCGAACGAGACCUUCGGGUCUAGUGGCGCACGGGUGCGUAACGCGUGGGAAUCUGCCCUUCGGUUGGGAAUAACUGAGAGAAAUUUCAGCUAAUACCUUAUAAUGUCUUCGGACCAAAGAUUUAUCGCCGAGGGAUGAGCCCGCGUAGGAUUAGGUAGUUGGUGGGGUAAUGGCCUACCAAGCCGACGAUCCUUAGCUGGUCUGAGAGGAUGAUCAGCCACACUGGGACUGAGACACGGCCCAGACUCCUACGGGAGGCAGCAGUGGGGAAUAUUGGACAAUGGGCGAAAGCCUGAUCCAGCAAUGCCGCGUGAGUGAUGAAGGCCUUAGGGUUGUAAAGCUCUUUUAACCGGGAUGAUAAUGACAGUACCGGGAGAAUAAGCUCCGGCUAACUCCGUG
rnacentral:rRNA from 1 species